rnacentral:rRNA from 1 species
GACGGAAGGUGCAAGCGUUGCUCGGAAUCACUGGGCGUAAAGAGCGUGUAGGCGGCUAGGUAGGUCCGUUGUGAAAACUCGAGGCUCAACCUCGAGACGUCGAUGGAAACCAUCUAGCUAGAGUCCGGAAGAGGAGAGUGGAAUUCCUGGUGUAGCGGUGAAAUGCGCAGAUAUCAGGAAGAACACCCGUGGCGAAGGCGGCACUCUGGGCCGGUACUGACGCUGAGGAGCGAAAGCGUGGGGAGCAAACAGG